UACGAGGGGGGCAAAUGUUGUUCGGAAUCACUGGGCGUAAAGGGAGCGUAGGCGGGUUUCUAAGUCAGGUGUUUAAUCCCGGGGCCCAACCCCGGACAGGCACUUGAAACUGGGAAUCUUGAAUAGUGGAGAGGUCAGUGGAAUUGGGGGUGUAGCGGUGAAAUGCUUAGAUAUGACAUAGAACACCGAUUGCGAAGGCAGCAGGCUACACAAAUAUUGACGCUGAGGCACGAAAGCGUGGGGAUCAAACAGG
rnacentral:rRNA from 1 species